AAAAAAUAUUCCAUUUUUAUUUACAAAACAUUACAUUUAACAUAGACAAAAACUUAACAAUGUAAAUCUGAAAUGAAUAACAAAUACUGUCAAUCCCCCAUUACAAAUUUUAUCGUUGUAUAUUAUCAAUCUUUCAUUUAAAUAUUAGCGUUGUUUAAUAUACUAUUAAGUAACUUACAUUAACUGUUAGGUAAUAAUAUUCACAUAUCAAAAUAGAAUUUUUGAAAAAUAUAGAUACCCAUUGGUGACCUUCAGCUGGUGUCUGCUCUUUGGUCAGGUUGUUGUCUCUUUCACACAUUCCCCAUUUCCAUUUUCAAUUUUAUUAUUUGGGAUUUCACAUUUAAACCAAGUUAUCAAGCUCAAUUCUAUUUAUUUUACAUGAUUGGAUAAAAAAUCUGGAAUUUUUUUAGAAUUUCAACCACCAAAUCAUCUCUUAAUAAUCUAAUGAAAUUUUCUAAUAAGCUUCCAAAAAAAUCUUUUCUUUGUUGUUACUGUCGGGGGAAAUCUUUGAAUUUUCUGUUUUAAUUUUCAUUCAAACUUAAAUGAAAAUACAUAUUUAUGAAAAUUCCCAUACAUGGUCCCCAAAUUUCAAAUACUUGUAAAAAACGAUGAUAAAUUUAAUUAUGAUUCAAAAAUUCAUGUGGUUAAAUGUUACAGCACUCUUACUUUGUUAUAUCACUUUAAUUAGUGUGUUUACAUGAUCAAUCAAAGCACUGUAAGCACUGUAGGCAUUUAAUCAAAAACUAAGGCAAAAGUGAUGAUGAAAACUGUGGUAGUGUUGCUAAUUUUUGCAUAAUUAGUAUUUCAGGUCAUUGAAGAAGCUAGUCAUAUGAAAACAUUUUGUGUACACAUCAGUAUAUUAGAUAUGUCAUAGAUAUUAGAAUUAUCCUUUAACAUUUACCAUAUAUAACGACAAUAACUUUAAUAACACCAGCAAGAAAAUUUUUCAACCAAACUGCCAAUAUAAAAAAGAUGUGGUAUGAUUGCCAAUGAGACAACUAUCCACAAAAGACCAAAAUGACACAGACAUUAACAACUAUAGGUCACCGUACGGCCUUCAACAACGAACAAAGCCCAUACCACAUAGUCAGCUAUAAAAGGCCCCGAUAAGACAAUGUAAAACAAUUCAAACGAGAAAACUAACGGCCAUAUUUAUUUUAAAAAAUGAAGGUUUGUAUUGCACAAUAUACAGAUAAUUAGAAAUUAAACUUGAGGUGUAGGGAUGUUAUAUAAAAAAAAAACUAGUGAUGAAAAAUAUCCCUCAGUCAAAAAUUUACAAAAAAACUGGUUUUCAUUCAUAAACUUUCAAAUACCCUUCUUCUAUAUUAAACACCCUCAUAUCAUACAUUUAUAACAAACAGAAAUAUAAUGACAUAACACAUUUUACAUAUUCUUGUACCAGAACAAGUAUUCACAAAGUACUUUUAUGGGGCAUUCUAAAUGAAAACAGUUGAAAUGAACAUAGUACAAAAAUUAUAAGAAUAAGAAUAUUUAUUGAAUCCAAAUAGAUGAUAGAAUUGGAUUUAAUACAAUUGAAUUUAGUUUAUGAUAAAAUUAGUCCUGAAGACCACAAUUUGUACUGGAGAUAAGUUGUUUUUCAUUAAUUUUUUUUGUCUUUUAGAAGGAGAAGAUAUUUUUGUUCCUCGUCUUAUCACCAUGGAUACCUUAUAAUAAUAAAGUAGCUAUUUAAAAAUUAAAAUCAAAGCGCUUGACAGCACUGAACGGUAAAGAUUGCUUCAAUUCAUCAGUGGGAAGUAAAAUUAAAUAUG
rnacentral:lncRNA from 1 species